UAAGGGGAAUCCCUGAAUAUAUUCUCCAGCAAAGAAGGCAGGGCUGCUGGGGCUGCUCAAGAAGAGAGCCGGCAGCCUCCUACAGCACCACUACAGGCACUGAGAGGACAUAACAUCAGAGAGCGGCUCCUCUGCCCUCCAAAACAACAACUUUCCUACCAUCUUGGAGGAAAUACAAAGGCAUGUGGCUGAAGAAAUAUUUUUCUUUAUAACCUGUUAAGAUCAGCUUUCUGGAGAAAAAAAAUUAAAGGAGGCAUUGUAAAUAAAAUGGAAUGUACAG